AGAGUUUGAUCAUGGCUCAGGACGAACGCUGGCGGCGUGCUUAACACAUGCAAGUCGAACGGUAAGGCCCUUCGGGGUACACGAGUGGCGAACGGGUGAGUAACACGUGGGUGAUCUGCCCUGCACUUUGGGAUAAGCCUGGGAAACUGGGUCUAAUACCGAAUACACCCUGCUGGUCGCAUGGCCUGGUGGGGGAAAGCUUUUGCGGUGUGGGAUGGGCCCGCGGCCUAUCAGCUUGUUGGUGGGGUGAUGGCCUACCAAGGCGACGACGGGUAGCCGGCCUGAGAGGGUGUCCGGCCACACUGGGACUGAGAUACGGCCCAGACUCCUACGGGAGGCAGCAGUGGGGAAUAUUGCACAAUGGGCGCAAGCCUGAUGCAGCGACGCCGCGUGGGGGAUGACGGCCUUCGGGUUGUAAACCUCUUUCAGUAGGGACGAAGCUUCGGUGACGGUACCUACAGAAGAAGCACCGGCCAACUACGUUGCCAGCAGCCGCGGUA
rnacentral:rRNA from 1 species